CAAGAUGAACAUCUACAUUUUCUAUAGUGGGACCAGAAUCUCUUUUCAUAUUUAUGGCCCACACAUUUGCAUAUGGCCGGACAGAGGACUUUGUUUCUACCAGCACAUCUGUCUUGAAAUAAGAGAGGAAACAGACACAACCCUGAUGCAGCAAAGAAGCAGCUCUUUCUCAAGUGACCUCCUCUAUCUCGCUCCUUCCUGGCUAACGGGGUACCCUGGAUUCUCGGAGAUCCUGGACAGAUAUCCACUCCUGACAAGUUCUGGAAAGAAUGACAUUCAAUCAGGUUCUAAGCACCACUGGAUGUGAACCACUGAAUUUCCUCCGCUCCUUGUCAGAUAUCAACUUACUUCUGACCAAAAAAAUAUAUUAAAAUGACAGAGUUACAAUCUUAAGGAGGAGUCAAGCUAAAGCAAAAAGAACCACCUGCUCUGGACUCCAGCAUGACUGCUGAGCUCAAAUACAUAUAUAAAGAGAAAGAACCACAAACUUGAAGAUGGAUAUCAGCUACAGAACUCCCAAGUCAGAUCUCACAGAAGAAAAUAAACAUAUGGUAUGUCAGAGAAGCCCCAGGGCUUCCACACCUGCCAGAAAAGGGAGUUGCACCUCAGCAGCUAACCCAGGGCUCCGUUCCCCUUCGGUGAGAAGGGUUUUUGUGCAGCAAGACUGUGGAGAGCUCUCACUGUGGUGGACGUUCGGUAAAGGGACCAAGGUGGAAAUCAAACGAGCUGUGGCUGCGCCGUCUGUCUUCAUCUUCCCGCCAUCUGAGGAUCAGGUGAAAUCUGGAACUGCCACUGUUGUGUGCCUACUGAAUGGCUUCUAUCCCAGAGAUGCCAAGGUAAAGUGGAAGGUGGAUGAUGUCGUCCAGUCGGAUAACAGUAUCCAGGACAGUAUCACAGAGCAGGACAGCAAGGACAACACCUACAGCCUCAGCAGCACCUUGACGCUGAGCAGCACGGAAUACCAGAGGCACAACGUCUACGCCUGUGAGGUCACCCAUCAAAGCUUGACCUCGCCCCUCACGAAGAGCUUCCGUAAAGGAGAGUGUUAGAGGGAGAAGUGCUCCAGGCCCACCACCUGCUCCUCAGUCCCAGCCUCUCCCCGUCCCAUCCUUUGGCCUCUGGCCCUUUUCCCACAAGGGACCUACCCCUAUUGCUGUCUUCCAGCUCAUCUUUCACCUCAUUCCUCUCCUCCUUCUUGGCUUUAAUUAUCCUAAUAUUGGAGAAUGAAUAAAUAAAGUGAAUCUUUGCA